rnacentral:rRNA from 1 species
UUAUAAGAGACAGCAGCAGCCACGGUAAUACGGAGGAUCCAAGCGUUAUCCGGAAUCAUUGGGUUUAAAGGGUCCGUAGGCGGUCUUGUAAGUCAGUGGUGAAAGCCCAUCGCUCAACGGUGGAACGGCCAUUGAUACUGCAGGACUUGAAUUAUUGGGAAGUAACUAGAAUAUGUAGUGUAGCGGUGAAAUGCUUAGAGAUUACAUGGAAUACCAAUUGCGAAGGCAGGUUACUACCAAUUGAUUGACGCUGAUGGACGAAAGCGUGGGUAGCGAACAGGAUUAGAUACCCCCGUAGUCCCUGUCUCUUAUAA